UACGGAGGGUGCAAGCGUUAUCCGGAUUCACUGGGUUUAAAGGGUGCGUAGGUGGCUUUGUAAGUCAGUGGUGAAAGCCUGGAGCUCAACUCCAGAACUGCCAUUGAUACUGCUUAGCUUGAAUCACGUCGAGGUGGAUGGAAUAAUACAUGUAGCGGUGAAAUGCUUAGAUAUGUAUUAGAACACCGAUUGCGAAGGCAGUUCACUAGGCGUGUAUUGACACUGAGGCACGAAAGCGUGGGGAUCAAACAGG
rnacentral:rRNA from 1 species